UCAACAUUUUUUUUUCAACCAAAGAGACAGAAAACAAAGGCACUCAUCUGUCUCUCCCUAAAAUCAUCACCAUCGCUCUUCUUUCUCUCUGUAAAAUUCCCCUCUCUCUCUCUCUCUAAAGCAUCAUCACCACUCAUCUUUCUCUUAGUGACAUUGCAUUGUGGUGGCGGCAGUUUGGUGGUGGCAGUGGCGGUUGUUGGUGGUGGUUGUGGAAGUGGAAGUGGCGGCUCGGUUAUCUUGGUGGUUGUGUUGGAUAGUGGUGGUGUCAGUGGCGGUUGGUUGUGGUGGUAGUGGUGAAGGCGACAACAGUGGAUUGAACACUGGCGACGGCGGGUAUUACCAGAAAGCUUGGCACGAUCUGAUCUUGAUGUUUAGACUGAAAUCGAAGCUACACGCCCUCUGGAAUCACCCUGCUGGCCAUAAAACCAGGAAGAUGUAUAGAUUGGCAUGAUAAAUUAUCAAGAUAUCAUUCAAAGGACUUGUGCACGGCUGAAAACCAAGAACAAAUCCGGGUAACAGUACAAAUCUUGCAUUUUUAUCUUUUCAUACUUUUUACCAUUUUAUCAACGAUAUAGUAAUUUUCAAACAAUGUUUUUUUUCAUAUCAAUCUGUAAUCAAAGCUGGGUUAAUCGCUUUCCUGGUUCAUCUCCUCCAGCCUGCUGAAUUUGAUAUAUAAAAAAAAAGCUGUAUGGCCUAUUGCAAAUGCCACUUCUGGUGGCACUAAUGAACAGAUCAAGAUUGUGAUAGUGAGUUUAGAAGAGCUUGAGAACAACUUAAAGGUGGUUGAAGACUUGAAGCUGAGAAAAACUUGGGUAACGGUCGAAAGGAAUCACAAAGUUAUCUUUAAAUAAGUGUGCAUGGAAUGAUGCUACCGGCCAUCUGACCCGUUUGAGACAUAUUACAAUUCUACCGGUUUAUAAACUUGUCAAGGUACAAAUUUCAAAGUUCUAAAAAACUUGACCCGAUCUCUAGUGUGGGUGUGGGUGAAAAUGAGAAUGCCACAAGUGUUGUAGGUUGCGAAAGCAUUAUGGUGUUACUAUGAGGCGACAAAAAUGACGCACCCGCUGCAACGCGCGGGCAUUCCCACUAGUACUUUAGCAUGUAAAACAUAGACUACCAUUGAGAAUCAAAUAAAAUAGAUUUAUGUAACCACCACCAUCUCCGACCAAAUCUACGCCCGUACUAAAUCUCAAUCUUGUUAUUUUUUAUUUUCUAUAUUUGUUCAGAUUUGCUACUUUCCAUCACUUCUAGUUAUUCAGUUUG